AUUGAACGCUGGCGGCAUGCCUUACACAUGCAAGUCGAACGGUAACAGGUCUUCGGAUGCUGACGAGUGGCGAACGGGUGAGUAAUACAUCGGAACGUGCCUAGUAGUGGGGGAUAACUACUCGAAAGAGUGGCUAAUACCGCAUGAGAUCUACGGAUGAAAGCAAGGGAUCGCAAGACCUUGUGCUACUAGAGCGGCCGAUGGCAGAUUAGGUAGUUGGUGGGAUAAAAGCUUACCAAGCCGACGAUCUGUAGCUGGUCUGAGAGGACGAUCAGCCACACUGGGACUGAGACACGGCCCAGACUCCUACGGGAGGCAGCAGUGGGGAAUUUUGGACAAUGGGCGCAAGCCUGAUCCAGCAAUGCCGCGUGCAGGAUGAAGGCCUUCGGGUUGUAAACUGCUUUUGUACGGAGCGAAAAGGCUCUCUCUAAUACAGGGGGCUCAUGACGGUACCGUAAGAAUAAGCACCGGCUAACUACGUGCCAGCAGCCGCGGUAA
rnacentral:rRNA from 1 species